rnacentral:lncRNA from 1 species
UUUGCUCCUCUCUCCUCCCCACAUGUUAAUAACUAAUUAUAAUUAAUUUUUAUUACAAUAAUAAUUGAAAAUUAAUAUUUAAUAAUAAUUAAAAAUAAUAUUAUUAAAUAAUAAUAAUAAUAAUAAUAAUAAUAUUCUAUUAUUGUUUCCUUUCUUUCUAGUAUUAUAGCUAUUGUAUUUGUGAUAUCUAUUUAUGACUUUGUUGAUCUCUUUUUGCUGGUGAGUACUUCUCGCUUUCGUCGGCUUGCGGUACCCACUGGGAGGGGGAGACAUGUUUACAUGUUCUCACCCCCCACCAUUUUUCAGGUAUUACGGGCGAUGAGGGUUGAAACGAGACGUGAGACACGUUCGUAGCGGUAAAUAGAGUUUCCGGCCCGGUGACAUUCGGUCUAGUUUCUAUCCUUGCUUAUUCAAAAUAACUAACUUAAACUUUAUAGUUCAGUUGGCUUUCAUUUACUUGAAUAAAUGUGGUUUUGGUGAAUAAAUUAAAGAACUUAGGGUUUUCUUUGAGAUGAAAACGAUUUUCUACCCCUCGUGGUAGCGUGUUUUAAAGAAAAAGUGUUUCCGUGUGGGAAACGGUUUUGAAAAGAUUUUUAUUGGUUUUCAUGACUCUUAGUGCUUCAAAAUGAGUUUCCGGGUGGCAUACAUUUUAAACUGAUAGAUGUGUAUUUAUAGAUAUUUGUAAUGAAAUGAAUGUAAAUAUGAAUGGUGAAUGUAUAUGUAUGCUCAUACGGUUGUGGUUAUAUAUUGUACUUGUGCGACGCCGUGCAAAUACAGGGGAGACUCUGUCCGUGUGAACAGUGGAUUCUCUGUAUUUGUAGCGGAUCUGACAUACUCUGGGGUGAAAGUUUUCAAAAAAAAAAAUUUGAGCACUUCCGCAUUGGAUCUUAAAUCCAAAGGGACCCCGGGGCGUGACAGACUAAAGUGGUAUCAGAGCCAAAUUACAAACGGUACCAUUCAUAGGUUAUUUUGAAAAAUAAAUAAACUGAAAUAUUGGUUAGGUUGACCCAUAGGAAGACCUACGGUUUAU